rnacentral:rRNA from 1 species
AUACGGAGGGGGCUAGCGUUGUUCGGAAUUACUGGGCGUAAAGCGUACGUAGGCGGAUUGUCAAGUUAGAGGUGAAAUCCCGGGGCUCAACCCCGGAACUGCCUUUAAAACUGGCAAUCUAGAGUUAUGGAGAGGUAAGUGGAAUUCCUAGUGUAGAGGUGAAAUUCGUAGAUAUUAGGAGGAACACCAGAGGCGAAGGCGGCUUACUGGACAUAUACUGACGCUGAGGUACGGAAGUGUGGGGAGCGAACGGGAUUAGAUACCCCGGUAGUCC